GAUGAAGAACGUAGUGAAAUGCGAUACUUGGUGUGAAUUGCAGAAUCCCGUGAACCAUCGAGUCUUUGAACGCAAGUUGCGCCCGAAGCUAUUAGGCCGAGGGCACGCCUGCCUGGGCGUCACACGUCGUUGCCCCCCCAUCUACUCCUUCGGGAUUGCGGGGGGCGGAUGAUGGCCUCCCGUGCGCCUCGCCGCGCGGUUGGCAUAAAUGCCAAGUCCUCGGCGACGCACGCCACGACAAUCGGUGGUUGCGAAACCUCGGUUGCCCGUCGUGUGCGGUCGUCGCGCAUCGAGGGCUCGAAAAAAUUGCCGGGUUCCGGCUCGGCUUUCAACGCGACCCCAGGUCAGGCGGGGUUACCCGCUGAAUUUAAGCAUAUCAAUAAGCGGAGGA
rnacentral:misc_RNA from 1 species